rnacentral:rRNA from 1 species
UACGGAGGAUCCGAGCGUUAUCCGGAUUUAUUGGGUUUAAAGGGUGCGUAGGCGGCCUUGUAAGUCAGGGGUGAAAGACGGUAGCUCAACUAUCGCAGUGCCUUUGAUACUGCAGGGCUUGAAUGUACUUGAGGUAGGCGGAAUGUGACAAGUAGCGGUGAAAUGCAUGGAUAUGUCACAGAACACCAAUUGCGAAGGCAGCUUACUAAAGUAUGAUUGACGCUGAGGCACGAAAGCGUGGGGAUCAAACAGG